rnacentral:lncRNA from 1 species
UUUUGUUGCAGAAUUGAUAGUUUUUUUUGGAAUAAUUAGUAGUCAAAAAUAUCUUUUCAUGAUGAAAAUACUAAUUACUUUUGUAACAGCAAUUGGAAUGAUAUUAACUUCGAUUUAUUUAUUAUCAAUCGUACGGCAGAUGUUCUAUGGAUAUAAGUUUUUGAAUACACCAAACUCUUAUUUUUUUGAUUCUGGGCCCAGAGAAUUAUUUAUUUCUAUUUCUAUCCUUAUACCCAUAAUAGGUAUUGGUGUUUACCCCGAUUUCAUUUUCUCAUUUUCGGUUGACAAGGUUGAAGCUAUUCUAUCUCAUUUUUGAUGGAUUAAAAAAAAAACACAUUGUGAAUACUUUUUCUAGUUUCAUAUUAUUCAUAAUGUUCAUGCACAUUUACAAUUAAUUCAAAAUAGAUCACAAUAGGAGGAUCGAAUGGACAACAUUAUCACGACGCUACGAAGAAUCAAAAUAAAAACAAUAGGAGCAAUAGGAAGAAUCAGAAGAAAAUUAAACAAAAUUCAGAAUUUUAUGAGUCCUAUUAAAUUCUCGCGAUUCUAUAUUCUUUGGUUCUUUAUUAAGCUAUUUUUUUAUAUUCGUAUGCAAACUGUAUCUAUGUUGUUAUUAAUUUUGCAUUAUUUUUUUCUCCUUCUUUCUGACUGGUUAAGAUUAAUAGGAACAAUUAGAAUCUUUUUCAUUUCGAUUUUGAUUUCCCUUUUGAUUUCAAUUUUCAUUUCAAUUCAUAAUUUUCUAGGAGCUCAAAGCAAAAACAUUCAUAAUUUUCUAGCAGCUCAAAUCAAAAAAAUUGAGAAUUUUCUAGGAGUUCAAAUCAAAAAAAUUCAGAAGGUUCUAAGAGGAAUCAGAAAAAUAAUGAAAAUACUUCUUCAUUUUAUGCGUUCUUUUCACUUCUGGCAAUUCUAUCUUCUUUGGUUGGUUCUUCAUUAAGGCAUUCGUCUAUAGUAUUCUCGUAAAAUCUAAAUAUGGCUUGUUCGUGCUUUGUCAUUUUCUUUUUGUCCUUAUUUUGGAAUUAUACCUUAUUUUUGCACUAUAUUUUGGUUUGCUAUUUGGCUAUUUUCUUUGUUCUGAUUGUCAGCUACUUUGUGUCAAAAUAAGGACACGGUAUUUUGUGAAUUUAUUCUUAUCUUAUCUUCUUUUCUGCUGUUCGUUUUGUUUUUUCUUUUUCCAAGGUUCUUAUCUUAUAGAGAUAGUCAAUAGAGUUAAGGUUAGUCAAUGCUAGUCACUUGACUAACCGUAAUUCUUAAGAUAGUAUAUAAAUAUACUCAGGUAUUAGGAAAAUCCAUUUAACAAAAUCAUGUAUGUAUAUAUAAAUAAUAAGAUGAAUGGAAAUAAAAGGAAACAAAAUAUUAUGCUAAUGGAAAAUCCAUUUAACAAAAUCAUGUAUGUAUAUAUAAAUGAUAAGAUGAAUGGAAAUAAAAGGAAAUAAAAUAUUUUGCUAAUAUUAGCAAAAUGCAUUUAAAAAAAUCAUGUAUAUAUAAAUGAUAAGAUCCAUUGAAAUAAAAGGAAAUAAAAUAUUAUGCUAAAAAACUUUCGUAUCUGGCUAGGAGGAAUCAGAAGAAAAUUAAACAAAAUUUUGAAUUCUAUUAAUUCUAUUAGAUUCUUCAGAUUCUUGCGAUCCUAUGUUCUUUGGUUGUUCAUUAAGUUAGUAGUGUUUCGUUUUACAAAAUCACUUAUAAACUCCAGCUCCAGAAUGCUUUAUAUAAAAUAUUAUUCUUUGUUUUUGAAUAACAAUUAUUAUAUAAUUCUUUAUGAAUUGGCCAUUCUUCUUUUAAUUUGUCUAUGUAUGUGUAUUUACAUUUUUUUCCGAGUUCUUUUUGUUGACUAGUUUGAAAAUAAAGACAUAGUCCAGUAGGAUAAGAUAUAAUUAAUAUGUAAUGAAGAUACUGUUUUGAUUUUUUAACCAAAAUCGAGUUUGUUCGUGGGGGAGAUUUCUAUUGGCAUGCAUCCAGUAGGAAUUGAACCUACGACUUCUCCAAUUAUGAGUUGGGCGCUUUAACCAUUCAGCCAUGGAUGCUUCGAGGGAACCCUCCGACUUCAUCACUAACCAAAUUUCAAUUGAAGUGAAAUCUUUUGGAUAAAUCAAUAUAAAUACAUUAAUAUAUAUAAAUAAAUAUAGAAAAAAAAGAAAUAGAAAAAAAAAAAAGAAAUAGAUCAAUUUGUAAAAAUGGAGUAUCCUAUCUUAUGAAGAAGAAUGAAGUAGACAUUUGGAUUUUAGAAUUGAGAGAAAUUUUUAGAGAGAGCAAGAAUUCUGCCUAUUUCUCAGAUUCCUGGACCCAAUUCAAUUCAGCGAUAUCUGUGAUUCACAUUUUUUUCCAUCAAGAGAGUUUGAUAAAACUCUUAGACUCCAGAAUUUGGAGUAUCCUAGUUUCACGCGGUUUAACAAGAUAUUUCACGAUCAAGAAUCUAGUACUUUUUGUAGUAGCGAUCCUUAUAUAUCGUAUUAACAAUCGAAGGAUGAUCGAAAAAAAAAAUAUUUAUUUGACAGGGCUUCUUCCGAUCCAAAUGAAUUCCAUUGGAUCCACAUUGGAAGACUCAAAAGAUUCCAAUAGGUUGGUUCUGAAUGGGUUUAUUGUUCCGCUCCUGUCUGGUCCAAAAGAAAAAAAUAUCUCUGAGAGAGAUAAUUGCUCUUUUUUGGCGGACAUAUGGUCAGAACGUCAUCUGCUGGAUUUGAAUCCUACUGAGAAGUCCGCUCGAGAUCCUAAAUUAUUUCAGAAAGAAGAUGUUUCUUUUGUUCUUUCGAGGCAAUCGGAAAAUAAAGAAAUAGCCAAUAUCGUGAAUAUAAUCAUGUAUUUACAAAAUAAUGUCUCAAUUCAUCCUAUUUCAUCCGAUCGAGGAUGUGAUAGGAUUGCAAAGGAUAAACUUUUUACAGUUCAAAAUCAUAUUUUAUUCUUGAACCAAAAUCUAGUUUCAGAAGAGAGAUUUCAAGAAAUGGCAAAUCUAUUCAAUCUCUCAAUAACUAAGCCGGAUCUGGUGUAUCGUAAUGGAUUCUCUUUUUCNCAACGGAAUAAGAAACAAAAUUCAUCAAGAAUCUAAAUAUUUUUAUUCUUUAUUUAUUUUUUUGUAUGGAAUAUACACAUCCACUUCAUGGAUCAUACCUUUCAUCCCUCUUCCAGUUCCUAUUUUAAUAGGGGUAGGACUUCACUUUUUCCCACGGCAACAAAAAAUAUUCGCCGUAUGUGGGCUUUUCCUAGUAUUUUAUUGUUAACCGUAGUUAUGAUUUUUUCGACGAUUUAUCUAUUCAUCAAAUCGAGAAUAGUUCUACCUAUCAAUAUGUAUGGUCUUGGCUAUAAAUAAUGAUCUUUCUUUAGAGUUUGGCUACUUGAUCGAUUCACUUACUUCUAUUAUGUCAAUAUUAAUCACUACUGUUGGUAUUCUGGUUCUCAUUAUAGUGAUAGUUAUAUGGCUCAGAUCAAGGCUAUUUGAGAUUUUUUACUUAUAUGAGUUUUUUAAUACUUCAAUGUUAGGAUUAGUUACUAGUUCAAAUUUGAUACAAGUUUAUAUUUUUUGGGAAUUGGUUGGAAUGUGUUCUUAUCUAUUAAUAGGUUUUGGUUCAACGUCCUAUUGCGGCAAAUGCUUGUCAAAAAGCGGUUGUAACGAAUCGUGUAGGGGACUUUGGUUUAUUAUUAGGAAUUUUAGGUUUUUAGUGACUGACGGAGAAUUAUAAAUGGAUCCAUUUUUUUGAUUUUGACUGGAGAUUAGGAAUAGAUGGACUCUCUAUAGGACCCAUUUUACUAACAGGAUUUAUAACUACUUUAGCCACUUUAGCGGCUCAAUCGGUUACUCGAGAAUACCAAUUAUUCUAUUUGCUGAUGUUAGCAAUGUAUAGCGGUCGAAUAAGACCAUUUUCUUCUGGAGACAUUUUACUUUUUUUCAUCAUGUGGGAAUUGGAAUUAAUCCACGUUUAUCUACUUUUAUCAAUCUAGGGGGGAAAGAAACGUUUCUACUCUGCUACUAAGUUUAUUUUGUACACUGCAGGAGCUUCUAUUUUUUUAUUAAUGGGGAUUUAUGGGUAUCAAUUUAUAUGGCUCUAAUAAACCAACAUUUAAUUUUGAAACAUUAAUUAAUCGAUUGUAUCCCGCGACACUAGAAAUAAUAUUCUAUACAACAUUUCUUAUUUCUUUUGCUGUCAAAUUGCCAAUUAUACCCUUACAGACAUGGUUACCAGAUACCCAUGGAGAGGCACAUUACAACACUUGUAUGCUUUUAGCCGGCAUAUUAUUAAAACUGGGAGCAUAUGGGUUGGUUCGAAUUAAUAUGGAAUUGGUUUCCCACGCUCAUUUGAUAUUUUGCCCCUGGUUAAUGAUAUUAGGUUCUAUUCAAAUAAUCUAUGUCGCUUCAACAUCUUUUGGUCAACAUAAUCUAAAAAAAAGAAUAAAUUAUUCUUCGGUAUCUCAUAUGGGUUUUCUAAUUAUAGGAAUUGGUUCCAUAAGUGAUACUGGUCUCAACAGGGCCAUUUUACAAAUCAUAUCUCAUGGAUCUAUUGGCGCUGCACUUUUUUUCUUGGCAGGAACUAGUUAUGAUAGAGUGCAUCUUCUUUAUCUUGACGAAAUGGGGGGAAUGGCUAUCCCAAUGCCAAAAAUAUUCACAAUUUUUUACUAUCUUAUCAAUGGCUUCUCUUGCAUUGCCUGACAUGAGUGGUUUUGUUGCAGAAUUGAUAGUUUUUUUUUGGAAUAAUUAGUAGUCAAAAAUAUCUUUUCAUGAUGAAAAUACUAAUUACUUUUGUAAC